AUGGACAGCAGGUUAAACGAGAAUCCUGCGAGAACCUUUGAUUUGGCUCUUCAGGUUGCAUGUCCAUCAUCUGAACAUGAAGAUGGUGCGAGCAUAUGGUUUGCAACUUGUGAUUACCUGCUGCAGCCCCUUUCCAGCUUUUCUCCUCAUGCACCCAAACCGGAGUCGCGGCUGCCCCCCUUUAAGAGGUAAAGACAUUUUAAUGUCCAUGAGAUGGAGCCUAGCUUGAGAUAAGGCAGUUUGAAGACUGAUGUGAUUAGCUAGCUUGGCAAUACCUCCAGAACCCCCUCCCUCCUGUGUCUGUACUGUGCAUAUAAAUUACCCUUGAGUCAGGAGUUAAGGUGUGAUUUGCGAGGCAGAUUGUUUGAAUGUUGUUUAUUUGCGGUGCGCUGGCUUCCUUUCCCGACGUUUCAUGCAAGCAAUGAGCCCAACCAAAUGGUAUGCAAAAAAAAAUAAAUAAAAAAUAGACGACCCAAACCAAGUAGUAGUUAACAAAAAAAAUAAAAUAAAAAAUUAAAAUCUUUCACAUGCAGACAGUUGAUAAACAUUCCCGCGAUUGGACAUGUAUUGUGACAGACUGAGCUAAUAUACAGUGAUAUGCCGGGACUGUCACAUAGCCGACAUCCAUAUGCUGCUCCACUCAAUCAUGAAGCUGUGAAAUUGGGUUGCACCCCAACUAGCUUCAAGAUUUUUUUUCUACCUCUCUCUCCUUCUCCGUGUUGCUUCCUAGCUGUUUUCUGAACUCUAUAAGUGUAAGUAAAAUAUGCAAAUGAAUCCGCACAGGCUUUUGACAAAUUGUCACACAUUGUGAUAAAACACAGGAAUAAUCAGUGUUUGAUGUUUGCUGGAGAGCCAAUUCUCAAGCUUUGCUGGUAGCCUGUAUUUUUGCCCAGAUUAGUGUGUUACACCAUACUAGUUACUUAUCUGUAUCACCUGUAGUUUUUGUAAUUGUGUAGUGCUUGAGGAUUUAUAUAUGAGAUAAAUACGUUCACUUGCAUACAAAUGCAACAGAAUCACUUUAAGUCCAUGGUUUCAUAAAUGGUGUAUAAAUGCAACGUGCUUCAGGUUCACUUUGCCAUUAGCUUGAUUGUGUUUUUGGGCAUCACAGGUGAUAAUAAAAAGCUAAUGGCACACAGUGACACAGGGGAGGAGAUGAUGGCAUUUCUCCAAAUUUGGAAUGAGGGGGCAUUUGUUGAAAAAUGAGCAAAAUGUUUUGGCUACAAAACCAAUGCAAUGCAGAAUGACAGCUUGAUGGUUUAAACCAGGUGUGUCAAACUCAUUUAAGGUUGAGGGCCGGAUCGGAGAAAAUGUCCCCUUGUGCGGGCCGAAUUACCUUUUGUUAAGCCCUAGUUUGCUCACAAUAACAUUAAUAUUAACCAUACAAACUACAAUAUAAUUUACAAAAAAAAAAAUCUAGGAUUUAUUUUUUUUUAUUUUAUUUUUUAAAGUAGGAUGCUAGGUUAUUUUAGGUAGUGUGCAAUAUUGACACAAUGUUCUUUUUUUUUUCUUUUUUUUUUUUGUUUUUUUUUUUAUUUAUUUUUUAAAGAGGAUGCUAGGUUAUUUUAGGAGUGUGCAAUAUUGAACACAAUGUCUUUUUUUUUUUCUUUUUUUUUUUUUUUGUAUUAGUGAUAAUUACCAUAUAUUGUUGAGUUGUUUUUGAGAUAGCACCUUGGUUGGUUUAAGCCUGUCAUGGAUAAAUAAAUAUGACCCUAAAGCCGCCAGUAGGUGGCAGGUGGUCUCCGUCUUAAUGAGUGAUCCAUUGACUCAUUCAUUCAGCUGAUUCGUUUAGAAGUGAAGCUAGUGAUUGUCUUUAUGAAUGAGCCACUGAAUCAAUGACUCAAAUGAUUUGUUCAAAAACACAGAUUCAUUCAGUAACAAAAUACACAGUGCUGCCCGAAGACGUGCAAUUGGUCUGUCUUUGCCUUUGUUAAAAACUUUUUCAUGCCGAAACAGAGAUAAACAGACAGCGUUGUGACUAAUAUAAAACACUUAAUACUAGUAUCUUGUUUGUUGAUCAGUUCUUUGCGAUCGCGCUGACAUUCUGGAAAGAAACAUGCUUGGUAUAGUUAGACAUUACUUAAACAUCAUGACAAAAAUAUUAAAAACAAAAUUUCUUACAGGACAUUUUUGCCCCCAUAUUUUUAAUUAUAUUGUAAUCUAAUAGCCUCAAUCCGGCACUGAAAAACUCUCAUGAUAUCUCUUAUAUUAUCCUCGUGCUGCUUGAGAUUCUGCCGCCGCUUUAAAAUGCUCAUGCUAGGUGUCCU
rnacentral:lncRNA from 1 species